rnacentral:lncRNA from 1 species
GCCAGGGUCUUAAGAUCCGAUCAACGAAGGGCUUGCCUGGUUUUGUUUGCUUCGAUGACAGACCUUCUUUGCUGCAUGGAUGGAUGGCCCAAGAAUAUAAUGGCCCAGGAGAAGAUGCGCUAAGAGGCUGCGGACACUGGUUUGAAGAAGCAGCCACAGAAGGGAGCCCAGUGGAGGCACGUUCUUGUCGGAAUUGAAGAAAAGAGGGAUCGAUUGGAGGAAAUGGCUAGAUGAAGCUCAUAGCUCCACAGUUCUAGUCACUCAGAUGGCGAGGGUGUCAUGGCAGCGCGGGGCCUGACACAGGAUUGAACAGCUAUAAGUUAUUGCUCUGGGUUUUAUUUUGAGACAAGGUCACAUGUAGUCAAGCCAUCCUGACCUCAAAGUUUCAAUGUAGCCAACCUUAGAGUUAUCCUGUCUCUGCCUCCCCAGUCCUGGGAUUGCAGCUUGCCCCAGACUGGGUUAGGCUGGACCUGUGCCAGGCCAAGAGCAGCCCGCCUGCAAUCGGGGAAAGAACCAUUCUGGUUGUGCCUUUCCUAGCUGGGCAUCAAGAAGAAGAACGAAGUCCAGAAUGAUAAAGAUGGAGGCGUGUCCAGGUACUUCCUGAUCUCCCUUCGAAUCGCCACUUAACUGUAAGACUGGUGUGGCGAGUCUGGAACUUUGGAGGAAGCCCUUGAGUCCAAAGUGGCACCGUGGGCACACCAAGAUAAGGGCUCUGCCUACCAUCUUGCCAUCAGUCAGGAGAGAAGGCCUGCACUUGGACCAGAAGUCAGUCAGACCUGAUGCUGAGCGAUUGCAUUUGCUCUGGGCCUCACUUUCCUUAUCUGGGCAAUGGGAUCAUAAUGCCUGCUGCCUGGCUAUCUUUGGAAGCUGUUUCAGAGUGGACAUGAGUUCUAAACUCAGCUCUGAAUCUCAACUGGCUUCAGCCCUCACGGCCAAGGUUUGGUUUUCCUCAUUAGCAAACUUCUCCCAGCUCCAUUUGUCAUUGGUGGGAGGGUGAGGGUGAAGUCGUGACUGUAGAGGCUUAUUGUUUAAACUGGGUAUCCAGCUCUCUGGAUGUUUCCUGUUUAAUGUGUGUGUGGGAGGGUAGGGGGCUCAGAGGCCCACCCUUGUGGAAAGUGAAGUAGGUUGUUGUAAACAAUCCCACAUAGAGGAUCUAUUAUGUCAUCCGGAAGGAGAGAGAUUUCAGCCACCAGGAAGGCUCCCUGAAGAGAAGCAGGCGCUGGCUGGAAGGGUGGGUCCACAUGGUGCUGGAGACUGCUGGGUAAAGUCAGGAGUGGAGAAUCCCAGGCCUGUGGGAGGGGAGUGUGGCGUGUGAGUCAGCCUACAGAGCUUGGCCACAUGUAUACAACAGCCAGGAGCUGGGGCCAGAGGUUAAACCAGAGAAGCCUUAAAUGAGCCGC